rnacentral:rRNA from 1 species
GCUUGUCUCAAAGAUUAAGCCAUGCAUAUCUAAGAAUAACUAACAUUAUCUUGAAUCUGUGAAUGGCUCAUUAUAUCAGUUAUAGUUUACAUGAUAGUCAAUACUACUUGGAUAACCGUAGUAAUUCUAGAGCUAAUACAUGCUAUCAAGCCCGACUUCUUGAAGGGUUGUAUUUAUUAGACUUAAGCCAAUAUUCCUUGUGUCUAUUGCGAUGAUUCAUAAUAACUGAUCGAAUCUCAAAUUUGAGAUAAAUCAUUCAAGUUUCUGCCCUAUCAGCUUUCGAUGGUAGUGUAUUGGACUACCAUGGCAGUAACGGGUAACGAAGAAUUAGGGUUCGAUUUCGGAGAGGGAGCAUGAGAAACGGCUACCACAUCUAAGGAAGGCAGCAGG